rnacentral:sRNA from 2 species
AGGAUGAGAAGCUUCGACUAAGGUUCGACUCGAGCGAAGCGAGAGAACGUUGCCGCAGGCAACGGCCCGAAGGGCGAGGAGCGAUAGCGACGAGUUAUCCUUCCCCCACCACCA